UCCGUAGGUGGAUAAUUAAGUCAGAGGUGAAAUCCUGCAGCUCAACUGUAGAAUUGCCUUUGAUACUGGUUAUCUUGAGUUAUUAUGAAGUAGUUAGAAUAUGUAGUGUAGCGGUGAAAUGCAUAGAUAUUACAUAGAAUACCAAUUGCGAAGGCAGAUUACUAAUAAUAUAUUGACACUGAUGGACGAAAGCGUGGGGAGCGAACAGGAUUAGAUACCCUGGUAGUCC
rnacentral:rRNA from 1 species